rnacentral:rRNA from 2 species
UGCAAGUCGAACGGUGAAGCCCAGCUUGCUGGGUGGAUCAGUGGCGAACGGGUGAGUAACACGUGAGCAACCUGCCCCUGACUCUGGGAUAAGCGCUGGAAACGGCGUCUAAUACUGGAUAUGUGACGUGACCGCAUGGUCUGCGUUUGGAAAGAUUUUUCGGUUGGGGAUGGGCUCGCGGCCUAUCAGCUUGUUGGUGAGGUAAUGGCUCACCAAGGCGUCGACGGGUAGCCGGCCUGAGAGGGUGACCGGCCACACUGGGACUGAGACACGGCCCAGACUCCUACGGGAGGCAGCAGUGGGGAAUAUUGCACAAUGGGCGCAAGCCUGAUGCAGCAACGCCGCGUGAGGGAUGACGGCCUUCGGGUUGUAAACCUCUUUUAGCAGGGAAGAAGCGAAAGUGACGGUACCUGCAGAAAAAGCGCCGGCUAACUACGUGCCAGCAGCCGCGGUAAUACGUAGGGCGCAAGCGUUAUCCGGAAUUAUUGGGCGUAAAGAGCUCGUAGGCGGUUUGUCGCGUCUGCUGUGAAAUCCCGAGGCUCAACCUCGGGCCUGCAGUGGGUACGGGCAGACUAGAGUGCGGUAGGGGAGAUUGGAAUUCCUGGUGUAGCGGUGGAAUGCGCAGAUAUCAGGAGGAACACCGAUGGCGAAGGCAGAUCUCUGGGCCGUAACUGACGCUGAGGAGCGAAAGGGUGGGGAGCAAACAGGCUUAGAUACCCUGGUAGUCCACCCCGUAAACGUUGGGAACUAGUUGUGGGGUCCAUUCCACGGAUUCCGUGACGCAGCUAACGCAUUAAGUUCCCCGCCUGGGGAGUACGGCCGCAAGGCUAAAACUCAAAGGAAUUGACGGGGACCCGCACAAGCGGCGGAGCAUGCGGAUUAAUUCGAUGCAACGCGAAGAACCUUACCAAGGCUUGACAUAUACGAGAACGGGCCAGAAAUGGUCAACUCUUUGGACACUCGUAAACAGGUGGUGCAUGGUUGUCGUCAGCUCGUGUCGUGAGAUGUUGGGUUAAGUCCCGCAACGAGCGCAACCCUCGUUCUAUGUUGCCAGCACGUAAUGGUGGGAACUCAUGGGAUACUGCCGGGGUCAACUCGGAGGAAGGUGGGGAUGACGUCAAAUCAUCAUGCCCCUUAUGUCUUGGGCUUCACGCAUGCUACAAUGGCCGGUACAAAGGGCUGCAAUACCGCGAGGUGGAGCGAAUCCCAAAAAGCCGGUCCCAGUUCGGAUUGAGGUCUGCAACUCGACCUCAUGAAGUCGGAGUCGCUAGUAAUCGCAGAUCAGCAACGCUGCGGUGAAUACGUUCCCGGGUCUUGUACACACCGCCCGUCAAGUCAUGAAAGUCGGUAACACCUGAAGCCGGUGGCCUAACCCUUGUGGAGGGAGCCGUCGAA